AUUGAACGCUGGCGGCAUGCUUUACACAUGCCAGUCGAACGGUAACAGCACUUCGGUGGCUGACGAGUGGCGCACGGGUGAGUAAUACAUCGGAACGUGCCUAGUAGUGGGGGAUAACUACUCGAAAGAGUAGCUAAUACCGCAUGAGAUCUAAGGAUGAAAGCAGGGGACCUUCGGCCUUGCGCUACUAGAGCGGCUGAUGGCAGAUUAGGUAGUUGGUGGGAUAAAAGCUUACCAAGCCGACGAUCUGUAGCCGGUCUGAGAGGACGACCAGCCACACUGGGACUGAGACACGGCCCAGACUCCUACGGGAGGCAGCAGUGGGGAAUUUUGGACAAUGGGCGCAAGCCUGAUCCAGCAAUGCCGCGUGCAGGAUGAAGGCCUUCGGGUUGUAAACUGCUUUUGUACGGAACGAAAAGCCCUCUUCUAAUACAGGAGGGUCAUGACGGUACCGUAAGAAUAAGCACCGGCUAACUACGUG
rnacentral:rRNA from 1 species